UACGUAGGGGCUAGCGUUAUCCGGAAUUACUGGGCGUAAAGGGUGCAUAGGCGGUCUUUCAAGCCAGAAGUGAAAGGCUACGGCUCAACCGUAGUAAGCUUUUGGAACUGUAAGACUUGAGUGCAGGAGAGGAGAGUGGAAUUCCUAGUGUAGCGGUGAAAUGCGUAGAUAUUAGGAAGAACACCAGUGGCGAAGGCGAUUCUCUGGACUGUAACUGACGCUGAGGCUCGAAAGCGUGGGGAGCAAACAGGAUUAGAUACCCCUGUAGU
rnacentral:rRNA from 1 species